UAUUGCAAAUGGAGUAUGUCCAGUCUUUUUUUAGUAACCACUUAGUCACAAACACUGGCCAAAACUGACGUCCAAAUUAGUUUUUUGCAUUUUUAAAUAUUAACACUAACUUUGGCCAGUGUUUGUGACCAAGUGGCUACUAAAAAAGACUGGGCAUACCCCAUUUGCAAUA